rnacentral:rRNA from 1 species
GUGCCAGCCGCCGCGGUAAUACAGAGGGUGCGAGCGUUGUCCGGAAUCACUGGGCGUAAAGGGCGCGUAGGUGGCUUGCCAAGCGUGUGGUGAAAGCCCGGAGCUCAACUCCGGGUCUGCCAUGCGAACUGGCAGGCUUGAGCACGGUAGAGGCCAAUGGAAUUCCGGGUGUAGCGGUGGAAUGCGUAGAGAUCCGGAAGAACACCGGUGGCGAAGGCGGUUGGCUGGGCCGUAGCUGACACUGAGGCGCGACAGCGUGGGGAGCAAACAGGAUUAGAAACCCGAGUAGUCC